rnacentral:rRNA from 1 species
CCUACGGGUGGCAGCAGUGGGGAAUAUUGGGCAAUGGACGCAAGUCUGACCCAGCAACGCCGCGUGAAGGAAGAAGGAUUUCGGGUUGUAAAGCUCUUUUAAGGGGGAAGAGAAGAAGACGAUACCCCUUGAAUAAGCCAUGGCUAACGACGUGCCAGCCGCCGCGGUUAUACGUAGGUGGCAAGUGUUCUCCGGAUUUAGUGGGUGUAAAGGGCGUGCAGGCGGAGAGACGAGUCAGAUGUGAAAUCUACGGGCUCAACCCGGGGCCUGCAUUUGACACUGUAAAUCUUGUGUACUGGAGAGGUAGGCGGAAUUCCUAGUGUAGCGGUGAAAGGCGUAGAUAUUAGGAGGAACACCAGUGGCGAAGGCGGUCUACUGGACAGCAACUGACGUUGAGGCGCGAAAGCGUGGGGAGCAAACAGGAUUAGAUACCCCAGUAGUC